rnacentral:rRNA from 1 species
UUAGGCCUACGGGAGGCAGCAGUGGGGAAUCUUGCACAAUGGGGGAAACCCUGAUGCAGCGACGCCGCGUGAGUGAAGAAGUAUUUCGGUAUGUAAAGCUCUAUCUGCAGGGAAGAAAAUGACGGUACCUGACCAAGAAGCCCCGGCUAACUACGUGCCAGCAGCCGCGGGAAUACGUAGGGGGCAAGCGUUAUCCGGAUUUACUGGGUGUAAAGGGAGCGUAGACGGUGAUGCAAGUCAGAAGUGAAAGCC